AGCGUCAUGUUUAGUAGCCAAGGAUGACUUGCCUGAUCUUUUUCGCCUCCACGAUUCAAUUUCAAAUUCAUGCAUUUUGGAUUAUUAUACCUUUUAAAGUAUAAUAGGUCAAAUAUCAUGUUGAAUCUUGCGGGUUAGGUUUCAGGCAGUCUCUUUGGCUAUCUUGACAUGCUUU
rnacentral:pre_miRNA from 14 species